rnacentral:snoRNA from 1 species
UACACAGUCCCAGCUCCGCAUAGCAAUGUUCGAUGUGUCUGUGCGGCGUUUCAUGACUGUAAAAUGAAAACCCAGUCAGUAUUAUAUCAUUGUUGCUGAUGUUUUCGUGCAUCAGCGAUGAAAGAGUAUUUGGCACACU